CAGCCGUAAACUAUGCGCGUUAGGUGUAUCGGUGACCACGAGUUACCGAGGUGCCGAAGGGAAACCGUGAAACGUGCCGCCUGGGAAGUACGGUCGCAAGGCUGAAACUUAAAGGAAUUGGCGGGGGAGCACCGCAACGGGUGGAGCCUGCGGUUUAAUUGGACUCAACGCCGGGAAGCUCACCGGAUAAGACAGCGGAAUGAUUGCCGGGCUGAAGACUCUGCAUGACUAGCUGAGAGGAGGUGCAUGGCGUCAGUGACU
rnacentral:rRNA from 1 species